AGUUGCUCAUCAACUAUCAGAUGAAAUACACGCUGCAUAAUUAGACAACCGUUCAAUAAUUGACCCCAAAUCAUGGACGAGUAGCUAGCCAGUGCUGGUAAGACCAAAGCCAAAGUGGUCAUGUGACAGUGCUAUACUGAACAAUUGAGACAAAGGGACACAAGAUGCCAGUCUGAAGAAAAUGUAUAUUUUACAAUAUUAUAGUAAAUACAUUUUUUUAUUGAUUAAAUCAACCAUGUAUUGAGGAAAUGAUGGAACACUUUACACAGUAAAUGCCUAAAUGUGUCAUCCUUUACCACAA